AAGGAGAAGGGCCGGGAGCCCGAAGCGGGGAGCGCCUCAGCGGCGCACAGACACGCAGAGCGCCAGGAGGCAGCGGCGAUGGCGCAGCCUGGGACUGCCAGGCGCGCGGGGCAGGAAGCAGCCGGUUGCUGAGAGGCCUCGCGCGGGAGGCCGGGGCUGGGGCCCGCGGCUCCAGCGGCGCCUAAGUGAAGCGACCAUGGAGGUCGUCGCAGUUGGUCAAAGAAGCCGAGUGCUCC
rfam:Oryctolagus cuniculus cont2.37544, whole genome shotgun sequence.